UAUGGCCAUAUCAUAUUGAAACACCAGUUUCCAUAUGAUCACAGAAGUUAAGCAACAUCGAGCCUGGUCAGUACUUAGAUUGGUGAUAGCUUGGAUAUACUAGGUGCUAU